rnacentral:rRNA from 1 species
AUGUCAUGCAUCAAGGGCUCCACCUCGUUGUUCACCACCGACCAGGAGGUCGAACUUGAUUGCACUCUAAAAAGUAGGCUAUCAUGUUUUAACAAAUGUGAAAGAGGUGGGGUAAUGUAUAAACAUGAAAAGCAACAUGCGACCAUGGGGGCGACAUGGGAUGCUGGAAUCGGCUCGGCCGUGAGCUGGAACCAUGACGCCCAAAUGCUGGAACCAGCAUCCGUCCUUGCUGCAAAUCGACAAUUUUUUUUGCUGGAACCGACUGCUCCAGAGCUGCGAUGGCACGCCGCUGGAACUGGCACUCGGGGGAGCUAUAACCGGCUUUGCGGAGAGCUGGAACCAGCAGUGCAUGGAGCUACGACCGGCAGAGGUGUAGCUGGGAGAGAGGUAUUUUUGCUGGAACCAUGUGUCAAUUUUGCUGCAUCCGGCAAUUUUUUUGCUGGAACCGGUGAUGAGACCAACACGAACAGGCAACAUGGAGAGUUGCAUCCGGCAAUUUGUUUUGCUACUAUCGUUGAUGGACGAGAAUGA